GGUGCCAUGUGAUUAUAUCUCAUGAAGAAGAAGAGUAAAAAAAAAUUUAAAAUUAUUUUGAUUAUAAAUAUAUUUAGAUUAGAUCUAAAAUAAUUUAUGAUUCAUUAAAAUUUUAAUAAAGUAAAUUUAGAUAUGAAAAUUGAUUUUAAGAUCUAAAUUAUAUAUUGCAUAUCAUGUAAUAUAUAGUAAUCUAAAAGUUUCUAUGAUGCAUAU
rnacentral:lncRNA from 1 species